CGAAUCCCCCAGCCGUCCGGGUCCGGUCGCCCUCGUUCCCCGCCGGGUAAUGGGCGCUAGAGGCCGCGAUUCCCAAAACCAACCCAGUUCCUCCCGAACGGCCCCUGCGGGAGGUUUCUGUAUCCUUCUCGUUUGCAUGGAAUGUUCGUACCUACAAUCAAAGAAUUGUUAUGGGAAUUACCCAAGAUGAUCCACAAAAUGCUCCUAGCACCAAACUGGAGCAUAAAGGAAGUACUCAGUUAAUACUAAGCCAUCAUCAUCUAAAUAUAUAAGCUUCUUGGAGUGAGGAUCACGUGUUCUGUUUCUUUUCCAGAGUUCACAGAGCCUAACCCAACGCUGUAUGCAACCUUUAAUAAAAGUCAAG